ensembl:lncRNA
GCCUGAGCAUUUUUACGCACAAAAACAGAAGCAAGGCCAUCUAUCCCCUUUAAUAUUUAGCUCCAUCAGUGCUAAUAUGGCAUCAUAGCUGUAUUGAUAGGUGCUCACAUAAAGGCUCCCUUUACAGCUCCGUGACAUUUUUGAUGGUGGAAAUUAAUUAUUCACAGGUUAGGAUUAAGGUAGACACGCUCAGGGAGAUGGGCUGUGGCUACCGUUGGAGGGUCAAUAAACUCUCCCAACAAACAAAAUACUAAGCAGAGUUGCUAAGAGGGUCGAUUACAGAAACAGCAGAGAGGGUUUUAUUAUUGUUUUUUUUAAGGGGGAAAAAUAGAUUUAAUAAAUGAAACCGUGACAACAGUUAUGUUUGUUGGCAUAAAGGGGGGUGGGAAGUGUAGGACUGCAGGGUUUGACAAACGGCUGUGUGGACAUUUCAACGUGCAAUACCCCGGGAAGGAGCUGCAGAGCGGUGCGCAGAGAGCCAAGGCAUUCACCGUCUCCAAGUCUCUCUUACACUCUGUAAACACAACCAGCCCGGCAGACUCUGCUAUUGAAGACUGAUAUUUUCAUAAGCUAAAUACUGUCGUUCCCAUUGAUUUGUGCACUAACGCUUGACUUUUUUUUUCAUCCUCCUCCUUUUGGACAACCAUGCAUGGGACAGUCCCAGCAGAAAAACCACCACAGAGCAUUUUAAAAACACCACAACACAACACUCUGCUACUCACGACUCCCCCCAUCCCAUGUUUGAAAUACUCUCAGGAAACAAUGCAGGAGUUCACAUGAUCAAGCAAGGUACCCAGCCACUACUUAUCCACACAGGAGACAGAGAGGAGAUCUGAGAGCUCGGGGACCUGCAGGGAGGCAACAACAACACUCAGCCUUCCUUUCCUAGAUAAAUAUCACCAAUGGGAGCAACAGAGCCAAACAUGCCCAAGUUCACUAGUAACAACAUAUUUAUUUGUAUUACAUAUCCUACUUAUCCAUUAUUAGCUUGUGCAUCCUUUAAAGUGGCCACAGUGCAGCUUUAACAAGAAGGAUUUUUUGCUAGAUUCCUGGACCCUCCUGAUGUGCUUCCUGCUGAGUCUCUCUCAAAGGUCAAAGGUUGGAAAUUUAUGAAUGUGACUGCAGCCUGGAGGAGUCGCAGGCAGCGUUUCGAAUCUUCUCCUGCAGCGUUUAUUCUAUAUUCGUAGAUGAAACACAAAGAGAGGAAUAGAGAGAGGCUAGGAUUAGAAUUGAGUAGCGCAUUAUUGUUUGGCAGCACAAGUCUUUAGCCAAAUUAGCUGCACAAACCACACGAUCAUUUAUAACGUGCGGCGUUUGCAUUUGAUUUUCCACUUGCUUAAAGUGCAGUCUCGAAUAAACUUUUGAAAUCAGAACGCGUUCUUUUCCUCCUACUUCACUUGCACUACUCAGCUUCUCUGACAUAAUUUAAUACACUGUGUAAUUUCUUCUUCUCCUGCGUAAUGACACCUUGAUUCGAGCGGCACUGACAACAAGACCUUUGACACCUUGACACAGUAAGUGGAUGGUGAUCUCAGUGAACAAUGUCACUGCUCUGGAAACAACACCCAAAAGAAGAAAAAAAAAAAACUCAUUUCUGAUCCCUUCACGUUCGAACUAGACAAGCGGCGUCCUGGGACUUCAGUUCAGCACAGAAAGACUACCUGUAAUUUGACUUGCCACGUCUAAAUGGAAGUUGAAUAGGUUACAUUGUGCAACAACAAAUAAAAUGCUUGUGAUGCUUUA